rnacentral:ncRNA from 1 species
CAACCUCAACUCAUAUGGGACUACCCCCUGAAUUUAAGCAUAUUAAUUAGGGGAGGAAAAGAAACUAACAAGGAUUUUCUUAGUAGCGGCGAGCGAAAAGAAAUCAGUUCAGCACUAAGUCACUUUGUCUAUAUGGCAAAUGUGAGAUGCAGUGUACGGAACAUCAACAUUCUAGUAUGAGAAGUUAACGAUUUAAGUCCUUCUUAAAUGAGGCCAUUUACCCAUAGAGGGUGCCAGGCCCGUAUAACGUUAAUGAUUACUAGAUGGUGUUUCCAAAGAGUCGUGUUGCUUGAUAGUGCAGCACUAAGUGGGUGGUAAACUCCAUCUAAAACUAAAUAUAACCAUGAGACCGAUAGUAAACAAGUACCGUGAGGGAAAGUUGAAAAGAACUCUGAAUAGAGAGUUAAAUAGUACGUGAAACUGCUUAGAGGUUAAGCCCGAUGAACCUGAAUAUCCGUUAUGGAAAAUUCAUCAUUAGAAUUGUAAUAUUUUAAACAAUAUUAUAAUAAUAGUGUGCAUUUUUUCCAUAUAAGGACAUUGUAAUCUAUUAGCAUAAAUAUUUAUCAUAAAAUUAUGUCUGAUUGCUUAUUUGAAUUAUAUGCUUGGCAUUUUAACAUAAAAUAAAAGAUAUAAAUUUGAUAAAGUGCUGAUAGAUUUAUAUGAUUACAGUGCGUUAAUUUUUCGGAAUUAUAUAAUGGCAUAAUUAUCAUUGAUAUUUGUGUUUAUUAUAUGCAUUUGU